rnacentral:rRNA from 1 species
UACAGAGGGGGCAAGCGUUGUUCGGAAUUACUGGGCGUAAAGGGCGCGUAGGCGGCCUGUUAAGUCGAACGUGAAAUCCCUGGGCUCAACCCAGGAAGUGCAUUCGAAACUGCAGAGCUGGAGUCCUGGAGAGGAAGGCGGAAUUCUCGGUGUAGAGGUGAAAUUCGUAGAUAUCGAGAGGAACACCGGUGGCGAAGGCGGCCUUCUGGACAGUGACUGACGCUGAGACGCGAAAGCGUGGGGAGCAAACAGG